UACGAAGGGGGCUAGCGUUGCUCGGAAUCACUGGGCGUAAAGGGUGCGUAGGCGGGUCUUUAAGUCAGGGGUGAAAUCCUGGAGCUCAACUCCAGAUCUGCCUUUGAUACUGAAGAUCUUGAGUUCGGGAGAGGUGAGUGGAACUGCGAGUGUAGAGGUGAAAUUCGUAGAUAUCCGCAAGAACACCAGUGGCGAAGGCGGCUCACUGGCCCGAUACUGACGCUGAGGCACGAAAGCGUGGGGAGCAAACAGG
rnacentral:rRNA from 1 species